AUGGCUCAUUACAACAGUUAUAGUUUCUUUGAUAACAAACGUUUACAUGGAUAACAAAAGUUUACAUGGAUAACCGUGGUAAUUCUAGACUAAUACAUGAGCACAUUCUCAACUGUUUUAGAAGAGAAGCAUUUAUUAGAUAAAAAACCAAUGUAUGCUUUUAAAGCAUAAAUUGGGUGAUUUACAAUAACUAAGCAGAUCGCACAGUGCAAACUGGCGAUAAAUCAUUCAAGUUUCUGACCUAUCAGCUUUCGACGGUAAGGUAUUGGCUUACCGUGGCAGUGACGGUUAACGGGGAAUUAGGGUUCAAUUCCGGAGAGGGAGCCUGAGAAACGGCUACCACAUCUAAGGAAGGCAGCAGGCGCGCAAAUUACCCAAUUCUAAUAGCAUAAGAGAGGUAGUGACAAGAAAUAACAGUACAAGGCAGUUAAAAUGCUUUGUAAUUGGAAUGAUAGAAAUUUAAAUACUUUUUAAAGUAUCAAUUGGAGGGCAAGUCUGGUGCCAGCAGCCGCGGUAAUUCCAGCUCCAAUAGCGUAUAUUAAAAUUGUUGCAGUUAAAAAGCUCGUAGUUGAAUUUUUGCUAAAAAUAACCGGUCUGCUUUUAUUAUUAAAAGUAGUAUCUUGGUGUGUUUCUAGCAAUAAUAUCCUUUAAAAUGUUUUUUUACUUUAUUGUAAAAAGCAAUUUUAAGGAUUUUUACUUUGAGAAAAUUAGAGUGUUUCAAGCAGGCUAACGUUUUGAAUACUGCAGCAUGGAAUAAUAAAAUAGGAUUUUAGUUCUACGUUAUUGGUUUUAAGAACUAAAUUAAUGAUUGAUAGGAGCAGUUGGGGGCAUUUGUAUUUAACUGUCAGAGGUGAAAUUCUUAGAUUUGUUAAAGACACACUACUGCGAAAGCAUUUGCCAAAGAUGUUUUCAUUAAUCAAGAACGAAAGUUAGGGGAUCGAAGACGAUCAGAUACCGUCGUAGUCUUAACUAUAAACUAUGCCGACUAGAGAUUGGAGGUCGUCUUUAUAAACGACUCCUUCAGCACCUUACGAGAAAUCAAAGUCUUUGGGUUCUGGGGGGAGUAUGGUCGCAAGGCUGAAACUU
rnacentral:rRNA from 2 species